GAUGAACGCUGGCGGCGUGCCUAAUACAUGCAAGUCGAGCGAACAGACGAGGAGCUUGCUCCUCUGACGUUAGCGGCGGACGGGUGAGUAACACGUGGAUAACCUACCUAUAAGACUGGGAUAACUUCGGGAAACCGGAGCUAAUACCGGAUAACAUAUUGAACCGCAUGGUUCAAUAGUGAAAGACGGUUUUGCUGUCACUUAUAGAUGGAUCCGCGCCGCAUUAGCUAGUUGGUAAGGUAACGGCUUACCAAGGCAACGAUGCGUAGCCGACCUGAGAGGGUGAUCGGCCACACUGGAACUGAGACCCGGUCCAGACUCCUACGGGAGGCAGCAGUAGGGAAUCUUCCGAAAUGGGCGAAAGCCUGACGGAGCAACGCCGCGUGAGUGAAGAAGGUCUUCGGAUCGUAAAACUCUGUUAUUAGGGAAGAACAAAUGUGUAAGUAACUAUGCACGUCUUGACGGUACCUAAUCAGAAAGCCACGGCUAACUACGUG
rnacentral:rRNA from 1 species